rnacentral:rRNA from 1 species
GCUAAAAAUCUAGCCCAACCCACCCCAAUGACUACUCUAUUUUUAUAAUUACAAAUUAAAACAUUCUAACACCAUAGUAAAGGAGAUUGAAAAACUACUUGGAGCAAUAUUUAUAGUACCGCAAGGGAAAAAUGAAAUAAAAAUGAAAUAAAUAUUAAGCAUAACAAAAUAGAGACUAACCCUCGUACCUUUCGCAUCAUGGUUUAACUAGUUUAAUCAAGCAAAAAGACUUAAAGUUUGACCUCCCGAAACUUAGCGAGCUACUUCAAGGCAGCUUAAAGAGCGAACCCGUCUCUGUUGCAAAAGAGUGGGAUGACCUUCAAGUAGGGGUGACAGACCUACCGAGCUAAGUGAUAGCUGGUUACUCAGGAAAAGGAUUUUAGUCCACCCUAAAAUUAAUUAAAGUGUAUUUAAACAAAAACAUAAUUUUAGAGACAUUCAAAUAAGGUACAGCCUAUUUGAACCAGGAUACAACCUACACCAAUGGGUAAUAUCUGCGCUAUUUUAUUUAACCAAGUGGGCCUAAAAGCAGCCAUCUUUUAAAAAGCGUCACAGCUUAAUUUUAUUAAAGCAUAAUUCCCUUAUAUUUUUUUAAACCCUUCAACAGUACUGAGUAAUUCUAUAUACCUAUAGAACAUUUUAUGUUAAAACUAGUAACAAGAAGAAGACCUUCUCUUUUAAUGCAAGUGUAAAUCAGACAGGACCCACCACUGAUAAUUAUCACCACUGAAUACAAAGUAAUAACAAUUCAAGAAAACCCUACUACCCAAAGAUGUUAACCUAACACAAGAGCAUUACAAGAAAGAUUAAAAGAAAAAGAAGGAACUCGGCAAAUAUUAACCUCGCCUGUUUACCAAAAACAUCGCCUCUUGACUACCUAUAAGAGGUCCAGCCUGCCCAGUGACUCUGUUCAACGGCCGCGGUAUCCUAACCGUGCGAAGGUAGCGUAAUCACUUGUUCUUUAAAUGAGGACUAGUAUGAACGGCACCACGAGGGUUAUACUGUCUCCUUUUUCUAAUCAGUGAAACUAAUCUUCCCGUGAAGAAGCGGGAAUAAACCUAUAAGACGAGAAGACCCUAUGGAGCUUUAAACUAUAUAACACUUGCCAUACCUGCAACCAAUUCCAGAAGAUUAAAUUUUACCCUGGCAUUAUGAUUAUUAGUUUUAGGUUGGGGUGACCGCGGAGCAAAAAAUAACCUCCACAAUGAAAGGACCUUUCACCUAAGUUAAGGACUACAAUCCUAAACAUCAACAACUUGACAUUAAUUGACCCAAGAUAUUGAUCAACGAACCAAGUUACCCUAGGGAUAACAGCGCAAUCCACUUCAAGAGCCCCUAUCGACAAGUGGGUUUACGACCUCGAUGUUGGAUCAGGGUAUCCCAGUGGUGCAGCCGCUACUAAAGGUUCGUUUGUUCAACGAUUAAAACCC